GACGAACGCUGGCGGCGUGCUUAACACAUGCAAGUCGAACGGAAAGGCCCUGCUUUUGUGGGGUGCUCGAGUGGCGAACGGGUGAGUAACACGUGAGUAACCUGCCCUUGACUUUGGGAUAACUUCAGGAAACUGGGGCUAAUACCGGAUAGGAGCUCCUGCUGCAUGGUGGGGGUUGGAAAGUUUCGGCGGUUGGGGAUGGACUCGCGGCUUAUCCGCUUGUUGGUGGGGUAGUGGCUUACCAAGGCUUUGACGGGUAGCCGGCCUGAGAGGGUGACCGGCCACAUGGGGACUGAGAUACGGCCCAGACGCCUACGGGAGGCAGCAGUGGGGAAUAUUGCACAAUGGGCGGAAGCCUGAUGCAGCAACGCCGCGUGCGGGAUGACGGCCUUCGGGUUGUAAACCGCUUUCGCCUGUGACGAAGCGUGAGUGACGGUAAUGGGUAAAGAAGCACCGGCUAACUACGUG
rnacentral:rRNA from 1 species